CUCCUACUCCCUCCGUUCCAAAUUACUCAUCGCAGAAAUGGAUGUAUCUAGAAUUAAAAUACAUCUAAAUACAUCCAUACCUGCGACAAGUAAUUCAGAACGGAGAGAGUACUUU
rnacentral:pre_miRNA from 1 species